CUCUGCUUUUGUUCCCUGGGGCUGGCAGGUCCGUGUGGGGCCUGGGCGCGCGGGAGAUGCCGAGGAGCUGGGUAUCCCGGACAGGGGAUGCUCACUCCCAGCAGCUCCGCCCGCAGCAGCGGCGGCAGUGGCGGCAGCGGCAGCAGCAGCAGCAGCAGCGGCAGAGAUAGUGCCGGCUCUCUGCAGGCCACAUCUUUCAUACCUUAUACAUCACUACCGCAUUCCCCCGAAUAGGGGAGCCCCAUAGCAUUUCGCCACCUAGCGCAGAAUGCAGGCGCCCACAGCAGCGGUGGAGGGGACCUAGCCGGGACGCGAGCACCGCGAGAGGAGAAGGACCUCAGCACCCGCUCGCAGGCUCUCUCCCCGCUCCAAUCAUCGCGAGGCCUGCAACUUGUAGCAGCCAUUCUGCAGUCCUGACCUAGGAUUGUCUGUUCCCCAGGGAGGUCUGGACUUCAGGCCAAGCAACACAGUUUAUUAGGGGGAGCCCUCUCCCAGUUACCACUCGGGUCUUGGCCAGCACAUGCGUCCUCUUCGCUGGAGUCUCCGCACACGAGGCUUUGCAGCAGCAGACACACACCCUCUUGCAUGUGCGUAAGCCCGCGAGACACAUUUCUGCGCUCCCCACCAACCAGUGUGUGCGUCCAGGAGCAGGUAGGCAAGGGUUCCUGUCACGGUUGUGUGACCUUAAGCAAACUGCCAAAUAAUGGAGCCUCCGAUUCUUCAUCGGCACACUGGGAAUCAGAUGGUCUGUCUCACAGGAUUGCUGUGAGAAGCCAGUGAGAUAAGCACAGAGCUUGACACCGGUCAUGCGAUGGCAAAUGAUGGAGCUUUUCUUCUUCAGCCAGUGCAGGUCUGCCCUUCCUGGGACAGUAAGAUAUCAGCCACAAUUCACUCACUCACCCCCAGCUUUCUGCAGAGCAACAAUGUACAUGGCCUACAGAAGAAGCCUAUGCCUCUUUAGCUCCUCUGCCAGCACGCCAAGCCUGGAGCAACCGGAUGGACAGGCAUUCUGCAAGUCCAGAUGAGACUUGUCACUACACACAUGCUGGGGAUGGUAAGGAAGUUGGAAAGAGAGGGAAGACUCAGAGGGUUGGGGCUGAGUCCAAUAAAUGUUCUGAUAGGAGCA
rnacentral:lncRNA from 1 species